rnacentral:lncRNA from 1 species
UUCUUUCCUCUCUCUUCUCUCUCUUAUUUUAUGUUUGUUUCUUUCAUUGAGGACAAUGCAUAUUUUAAGUGUGGGGGAGGGAAUACUUUAUUUUCUUUGUUUUUGUUCUUUGUUUUGUUUUGUUUUUGUUUUCUUUCAAAAAAAAAUUGCAUUUUUGUUGAAAGUUUUAGGCUAUAGAAUAAUUUGAGGUCGAGUUUGCGGAGACUUGGGAAAAAUUCACAAGAUCGGUAUUGUUUUAACACCGUAAGUCUCCUGCAUAUGGAAAUUGAGUUGAAUUUUUAUUAUGACAUAGCCUUAAAUUCUCAUUCUCUGACAGCUCUUGAGUAGUUUAUUUCAGCAGUCAGCACCAUCUCACACACACUCUACGCA